AGUCGAACGGUAAGGCCCCUUCGGGGGUACACGAGUGGCGAACGGGUGAGUAACACGUGAGUAACCUGCCCUUGACUUCGGGAUAACAGUUGGAAACAGCUGCUAAUACCGGAUACUCAACCCCUGGGGCAUCCUCGGGGUUGGAAAGUUCCGGCGGUCAAGGAUGGACUCGCGGCCUAUCAGCUUGUUGGUGAGGUAAUGGCUCACCAAGGCGUCGACGGGUAGCCGGCCUGAGAGGGCGACCGGCCACAUUGGGACUGAGAUACGGCCCAAACUCCUACGGGAGGCAGCAGUGGGGAAUAUUGCACAAUGGGCGAAAGCCUGAUGCAGCAACGCCGCGUGCGGGAUGACGGCCUUCGGGUUGUAAACCGCUUUCACUCAUGACGAAGCUUUUUGUGACGGUAGUGGGAGAAGAAGCACCGGCUAACUACGUGCCAGCAGCCGCGGUGAUACGUAGGGUGCGAGCGUUGUCCGGAUUUAUUGGGCGUAAAGAGCUUGUAGGCGGUUUGUCACGUCGGGAGUGAAAACUCAGGGCUUAACCCUGAGCCUGCUUCUGAUACGGGCAGACUUGAGGAAGGUAGGGGAGAAUGGAAUUCCUGGUGGAGCGGUGGAAUGCGCAGAUAUCAGGAGGAACACCAGUGGCGAAGGCGGUUCUCUGGACCUUUCCUGACGCUGAGAAGCGAAAGCGUGGGGAGCAAACAGGAUUAGAUACCCUGGUAGUCCACGCCGUAAACGGUGGGUACUAGGUGUGGGGGACAUUCCACGUUCUCCGUGCCGCAGCUAACGCAUUAAGUACCCCGCCUGGGGAGUACGGCCGCAAGGCUAAAACUCAAAGGAAUUGACGGGGCCCCGCACAAGCGGCGGAGCAUGCGGAUUAAUUCGAUGCAACGCGAAGAACCUUACCUGGGUUUGACAUAUGCCGGAAACAUUCAGAGAUGGAUGCCCCUUUAUGGUCGGUUUACAGGUGGUGCAUGGCUGUCGUCAGCUCGUGUCGUGAGAUGUUGGGUUAAGUCCCGCAACGAGCGCAACCCUCGUCCAAUGUUGCCAGCGGGUAAUGCCGGGGACUCAUUGGAGACCGCCGGGGUCAAU
rnacentral:rRNA from 1 species